UAUUUGAAUUAAGCUAGUGCAAGUGAUAUAAAUCAAUUAAUUUAUCACUAAUCGCAAGAUUAUUAUCCGCGCUCUUAUUUGUAAAUAAAAGCGUGAUAAGGAACAAUCAGUUCAGUGGACAAUAUAACAUCGAUUUUAUCGAAUAAAGUUCUAGAUAUAAUACUGAUUAUGACAAUUUUAUAUCUAUAUGUCUUGACCAAAUUACGUGCCAGCAGUCGCGGUAAUACGUAGAAGACUAGUGUUAUUCAUCUUUAGUAGGUUUAAAGGGUACCUAGACGGUAUAAUUAGUCUUAAAUAGGAUACGGUUAUACUAGAGUUAUAUAUGAGAAGGGGAGUAUUUAUGGAGUAGAGUUGAAAUUCUUUGAUACCAUGAGGACUGAUAACGGCGAAAGCAACCUUUUAUCUAAUAACUGACGUUGAGGGACGAAGGCUCGGGUAACGAACAGGAUUAGAUACCCUAGUAGUCCAAGCAGAGAAUGAUGAAUGCCAUAGAUUAGAUGUUAAUUUAGUCUAUAAAUGAAAGUGUAAGCAUUUCACCUCAAGAGUAAUGUGGCAACGCAGGAACUGAAAUCAUUAGACCGUUUCUGAAACCAGUAGUGAAGUAUGUUAUUUAAUUCGUAGGUACGCGAAAAACCUUACCACAACUUGAAUAUUAUCUUUUUAUGCUUAUGUUUAUAAAGCGAAGUAAUAAGGAUAAUAUUACUUGCUUCGCAAGCAAUAUUAUUUUUAAAGAUAUUACAAGCGUUGCACGGCUGUCUUCAGUUAAUGUCGUGAGAUAUUGGUUAAUUCCUAUAAAUUAACGGAAACCCUUGCUUUAUUUGCGAUUUUACUUCAAGAAAAAA
rnacentral:rRNA from 1 species